rnacentral:misc_RNA from 1 species
GGAAAGCUUAGCUAGUUCAAAGAAGGUACCAGUUGUAUUCGUCAAAGACAAGAAAAGAGGUUCUUUGAGAUUGGGUGAACUGGUCAAACUUAAAACUGCAAUUGCCAUUGGUGUUAAGAAUAAAGGAAACAAGUUCAAUCAAUUUAUCAGCACUGAAAUACUCCACAAGUUUGAAUGACUAUAUUGCAAUGAGGCUUCAUACAGGGACAUUGAUCAAUAGUGUAUUGUGAAGGUGUAUCUAGUUUUUG